rnacentral:rRNA from 2 species
GACAGUGUCUGGUGGGUAGUUUGACUGGGGCGGUCUCCUCCUAAAGAGUAACGGAGGAGCACGAAGGUUGGCUAAUCCUGGUCGGACAUCAGGAGGUUAGUGCAAUGGCAUAAGCCAGCUUGACUGCGAGCGUGACGGCGCGAGCAGGUGCGAAAGCAGGUCAUAGUGAUCCGGUGGUUCUGAAUGGAAGGGCCAUCGCUCAACGGAUAAAAGGUACUCCGGGGAUAACAGGCUGAUACCGCCCAAGAGUUCAUAUCGACGGCGGUGUUUGGCACCUCGAUGUCGGCUCAUCACAUCCUGGGGCUGAAGUAGGUCCCAAGGGUAUGGCUGUUCGCCAUUUAAAGUGGUACGCGAGCUGGGUUUAGAACGUCGUGAGACAGUUCGGUCCCUAUCUGCCGUGGGCGCUGGAGAACUGAGGGGGGCUGCUCCUAGUACGAGAGGACCGGAGUGGACGCAUCACUGGUGUUCGGGUUGUCAUGCCAAUGGCACUGCCCGGUAGCUAAAUGCGGAAGAGAUAAGUGCUGAAAGCAUCUAAGCACGAAACUUGCCCCGAGAUGAGUUCUCCCUGAGACUUAGAGUCUCCUGAAGGAACGUUGAAGACGACGACGUUGAUAGGCCGGGUGUGUAAGCGCAGCGAUGCGUUGAGCUAACCGGUACUAAUGAACCGUGAGGCUUAACCUUAC